UACGAAGGACCCGAGCGUUAUCCGGAUUUAUUGGGUUUAAAGGGUGCGUAGGCGGACUAGUAAGUCAGUGGUGAAAGCCUGUUGCUUAACAACAGAACUGCCAUCGAUACUGCUAAUCUUGAGUACAUAUGAUGUGGGCGGAAUGUGCCAUGUAGCGGUGAAAUGCUUAGAUAUGGCACAGAACACCGAUUGCGAAGGCAGCGCACAAAACUGUUACUGACGCUGAGGCACGAAAGCGUGGGGAUCAAACAGG
rnacentral:rRNA from 1 species